rnacentral:rRNA from 1 species
AGAGUUUGAUCCUGGCUCAGAACGAACGCUGGCGGCGUGGAUUAGGCAUGCAAGUCGAACGGGAUUUCGGAAGUAGCAAUAUUUUCGAAGUUCAGUGGCGAAAGGGCGAGUAACACGUGGGCAAUCUGCCUCUAAGUUUGGGAUAACUUGGCGAAAGCUGGGCUAAUACCGAAUGUGGUCAUCCCCCGCAUGGGGGGUUAUCUGAAGUCGGGGACCGCAAGGCCUGACGCUUGGAGAUGAGCCCGCGUCCUAUCAGCUUGUUGGUGAGGUAACGGCUCACCAAGGCUAACGGGUAGCUGGUCUGAGAGGAUGGUCAGCCGCACUGGGACUGAGACACUGCCCAGACUCCUACGGGAGGCUGCAGUCGGGAAUCAUUCGCAAUGGGCGCAAGCCUGACGAUGCGACGCCGCGUGCAGGAUGAAGGUCUUCGGAUUGUAAACUGCUGUGACGGGGGAGCAAUGCGGAACGUGCUAACACCACGUAACGUUGAUAGUACCCCGAGAGGAAGCCACGGCUAACUCUGUGCCAGCAGCCGCGGUAAUACAGAGGUGGCGAGCGUUGUUCGGAUUUACUGGGCGUAAAGGGUGCGUAGGCGGCUCUGUGUGUCGGAUGUGAAAUCCCACGGAUCAUCUGUGGAACGGCAUUCGAAACUGCAGGGCUUGGGUGCAGGAGAGGAAAGCGGAAUUCUCGGUGUAGCGGUGAAAUGCGUUGAUAUCGAGAGGAACGCCGGUGGUGAAGACGGCUUUCUGGAAUGCAACUGACGCUGAGGCACGAAAGUCAGGGGAGCAAACAGGAUUAGAUACCCUGUUAGUCCUGACUGUAAACGGUGCGAACUUGAUGUGGGAGGAUUUUCCCCUUCCGUAUCGCAGCUAACGCGAUAAGUUCGCCGCCUGGGGAGUACGACCGCAAGGUUAAAACUCAAAGGAAUUGACGGGGGCCCGCACAAGCGGUGGAGCAUGUGGCUCAAUUCGAUCCACGCGAAGAACCUUACCUGGGUUUGACAUGCGGCUGGAUGCCCGUCGAAAGAUGGGAGGCCUUCGAGGCUGCCGCACAGGUGCUGCACGGCUGUCGUCAGCUCGUGCCGUGAGGUGUUAGGUUAAGUCCUGCAACGAGCGCAACCCCUGUGAUUAGUUGCCAGCACGUAAUGGUGGGCACUCUAGUCAGACUGCCUGUGAUAAGCAGGAGGAAGGUGGGGAUGACGUCAAGUCAGUAUGGUCCUUAUAUCCAGGGCUGCACACGUGCUACAAUGAAGGGUACAGAAAGAUGCAAGACCGCGAGGUGGAGCAAAUCUCAAAAACCCUUCCCAGUUCAGAUUGGAGUCUGCAACUCGACUCCAUGAAGCCGGAAUCGCUAGUAAUGGCGCAUCAGCUUCGGCGCCGUGAAUACGCUCCCGGGCCUUGUACACACCGCCCGUCACAUCCUGAAAGCCGGUCACACCCAAAGUGGCUGUUUCAACCGCAAGGGGAUAGGUCCCUAAGGUGUGGUUGGUGAUUGGGAUGAAGUCGGAACAAGGUA